GGCCUAUUGAUAAUAAUUUUAGGUCUGACCUGCCCAAUGAUGGUAAAUUUAAUGGCCGCGGUAUAUUAACCGUGCAAAGGUAGCAUAAUCAUUAGUUUUUUAAUUGAAAGCUUGUAUGAAAGGUUUGAUGAAAAAAUAGCUGUCUCUAUUUAAAUUAAUUAGAAUUUUAUUUUUGAGUUAAAAAGCUUAAAUAUUUAUAGAAGACGAGAAGACCCUAUAGAGUUUAAUAGUUGUAUGCGAUAAAGUGAUUUUUAGUAUUAUUUAAUUUAUGGGUAUAAUUAUUUGAUUGGGGUGAUUGAAAAAUUUAAUGAACUUUUUUUGUAUAUAUACAUUUAUAAAUGAUUAUUUGAUCCUUAAAUAAAGAUUAUAAGAUAAAAUUACCUUAGGGAUAACAGCGUAAUUUUUUUUUAGAGUUCAAAUUAAAAAAAAAGAUUGCGACCUCGAUGUUGGAUUAAAAGAAAUUAUUGGUGUAGAAGCUAAUAAAUUAGGUCUGUUCGACCUUUAAAAUUUUAC
rnacentral:rRNA from 1 species